rnacentral:rRNA from 1 species
GCUGCGUUCCUCAGUCCCCCAGGGCGAAUCCAAUAAAGAGCUAUAACACAGCCGAAACUGCUACCUUCUCUCUAUGCUUUUCCGCCCCGAAAAACUGAUGCGGGCCUGCCAAUCGAGUUGCCCCGAAUAGCAAGUAUCACUGCAUGUGUUUCCCUUCCAACAAUUUCACGUACUGUUAACUCUCUUUCCAAAGUGCUUUUCAUCUUUCCCUCACGGUACUUGUUCGCUAUCGGUCUCUCGCCAAUAUUUAGCUUUAGAUGGAAUUUACCACCCAAUUUGAGCUGCAUUCCCAAACAACUCGACUCUUCGAAAGUGUAUCACAAAGUAAUAGGCAUCCGCAUCGUGUACUGGGUUCUCACCACUAUGACGCUCUGUUCCAAGAGACUUGUAUGCGGUCUAUCACGGAAAACACUUCUCGAGAUUACAACUCGGACGUCGAAGACGCCAGAUUACAAAUUUGAGCUUUUCCCGCUUCGCUCGCCGCUACUAGGGGAA